GGGGGGAGUAGCAGGGGGCACCUGCCGCUGGAAGCCGCCGGCCCCGCAGCAACACCGGCGGUAACUGGAGUUUACACAGAUGGCACCUUCCAGCAAACCCAAAGUGGUCCCGCGGAUUAGGCUUCACAGAGUCCGCUGUAGCCUACGGUGGCUUCUGCUUCACACCCCAUUUCUGCCUCCAGGGCGUGGGGCCGUUCCAGAAAGAGGGAACAAGAGGCCCCAAGGAUUCUCGUUUUGUCAAAAAAAAAAAAAAAGCCAGAAACAAAAAUGUCCUGCCACAGCACGCCCACUGAGCUGA
rnacentral:lncRNA from 12 species